AAAAUCUGUCCACUUCAGAGCAGUCAUAAACCACCACCUCACAAUGCGUUUUCAGAAAGAGAUGUUGAGAUGACAAAGGACAGAAGGCUUAUAAAUUAUCGCUCAGUGUUCUGAAGGUAUCUUGUUCACCUGUCCAGUCCUGACACGAGCAACAGCAAGUAAAUGAAAGUUGCUAACUUUCAAGAUGUUCCUGAGGCCUCAGAUGUUCAAUAUCACUCACUCAGAUAAGAUGUCUUCCCCU